UCCUCCGUGGCGCAAUUGGCUAGCGCGUUCGACUGUUACUAGUUCAUCAGAACCGGGCGAUCGAGAGGUUGACAGUUCAAGCCUGUCCGGGGGAG